UUGGGGUCAACAGAACAUCUUUGAUUCUAACUCUAAAGUUUCUAUCAUAAAAAGAAAGCUCCUUGUCAUUAUGAUGAUGUCUUCAGACAGGUUCUUUCUGGAUAUUUUGUACAAAAGGGCCUUGUGCCAAACUUUUUCGAAUGCCUUGGGGAUGUCAAAAAAGAUCAUCCUGUUAAUUGUUUUGAUUCCAUGGCCUUUCUUAUCUUCUCCGUUACAACCACAAGUUGAUGAAGGGUCAAUGUAUUAGCUCUAACUAUUUGUUCAGGCCUUAGGGGAUUUUUUUCAUUCAGUGCUUUUUUUUUCUGAGAAUGAUUCUUUCAAUAUUUGUUUCAGUACAGGACAGAUUUUUGAGGUUUUCUAAUUGUCAUGCUUCAGUGAGGUAAUAAAGGUGCUGGUUAGUGACUCAAAAAUAUAGUUGGGCAGUAAUUUUAGGGCAUCGUUUGUGAUUUUUUCGAUGACUGGGGCUUUUUUAUUAGGGAAGGUGUCGAUUAUUGCCUUAAUUUCUCCAAUGUUAGUGGGUUCCAGACCUGUUUUGUUAUUGGUUUGAGGUAUGUGCUAACUCUUUUGAUUAGAGAUCUGUUUGAUUUUGAGUAAUAUGUAGAAGGAUUUGGGCAGAACUGCGUUUCGUAAUUGUCUGAGGGUGCUUCAGCUGCCUCCUCUGCUAUUAUUGUCAGAUUGCUCAUUGUUUUGAUAAUGAUUUCUUUUUUAAUUUGUAGCUGUGAGCCAUCUUAUGCCUUCCAUACUGAUAAGGCACAAUUUGGAUUAUUAACUUAUAUAGUCACGACCGUCACGGGCCGCCUCUGUCACGGAUGCGCGCGCAUCAUUAUUAUGAUCAUUAUCAUUAUCUAAUGAUAAUUAUUAUUAUUAUUAUUAUCAACAUAUAUAUAGUCACGACCGUCUUUCCUGGCAUCUGUCACGGAUGCGCGCGCAUCAUCAUUAUGAUCAUUAUCUAAUGAUAAUUAUUAUUAUUAUCAACAUAUAUAGUCAUGACCAUCUUUCCUGGCCUCUGUCACGGAUGCGCGCGCAUCAUCAUUAAGAUCAUUAUCAUUAUCUAAUGAUAAUAAUAAUAAUUAUUAUUAUUAUAUUAUUAUUAUUAAUAAUAAUCAACAUAUAUAGUCACGACCGUCUUUCCUCAACAAUUCCUCAUCUCUGUCACGGAUGCGCGCGCAUCAUCAUUAUGAUCAUUAUCAUUAUCUAAUUAUAAUAAUAAUUAUUAUUAUAUUAUUAUUAUUAUUUUAUUAUUUUAAUAUCAACAUAUAUAGUCACGACCGUCCUCAAUUCCUCAUGUCACGGAUGCGCGCGCAUCAUCAUUAGAUCAUUAUCAUUAUCUAAUGAGAUAAUAAUAAUAAUAAUAAUUAUAAAAUAAAAGGAUUUAAAAGCGCGAAUGUUUCUUUUAUACAUAAAAUGAACUUCUACUGUCCUUACUGCGAUGAAAAAAUAUAUUGGGAGGGCUUGGCUCAUCAGUGGUGAACCCUCCCAGCGGUUUCGCCAAUUUAAUCCACCAGACCGCUUCUCAGAGCUCUAAUAUUGUAUUGGAUCAUUCUGCUUUUAUAUGCUACACUGAAGGAUGGAAUCUUAGAAAUGGGUUUUAAGUAAACUAUGGACAUAAGCUUAUAGGACAGUAGAAUUAUAUUCAAAUAUUUGCUUCGAGCAAUGCUCUUCAGCAAACUAUAAAGACAAGGCCAUUCGGAAUAAAUUAACACAAAGCAAUAACGCGCCAUCUAUACAUAUAAAAUAAAAGGAUUUAAAAGCGCGAAUGUUUCUUUUAUACAUAAAACGAACUUCUACUGUCCUUACUGUGAGGACACCAUUUCUAAGAUUCCAUCCUUCAGUGUAGCAUAUAAAAGCAGAAUGAUCCAAUACAAUAUUAGAGCUCUGAGAAGCGGUCUGGUGGAUUAAAUUGGUGAAACCGCUGGGAGGGUUCACCACUGAUGAGCCAAGCCCUCCCAAUAUAUUUUUUCAUCGCAGUAAGGACAGUAGAAGUUCGUUUUAUGUAUAAAAGAAACAUUCGCGCUUUUAAAUCCUUUUAUUUUAUAUGUAUAGAUGGCGCGUUAUUGCUUUGUGUUAAUAAUAAUAAUUAUUAUAUUAUUAUUAUUAUUUUAUUAUUAAUAUAUAGUCACGACCGUCUUUCCUCAAUUCCUCAUCGCUGUCACGGAUGCGCGCGCAUCAUCAUUAUGAUCAUUAUCUUCUAUAGAAGCUUCUAUCUUUAUAAUUAUGUAUAUUUACAAAAAGUCAAUUCGCUCGCGCCUCUAGCGGUGAAAAUGAGGGGUAAUACCAGCUGACCUAAUGUACAUGCAAAGUUUGGAGCGGGACGUUUCACAAGAGUGACAUCCACGGCUCCAAUUUAUAAUUGUAACAAAUAGUAUUUGAAUAAAAACAUUCAAUCGGGUAAAACACGGGCGUUGCCCGGGUCAUUCGUUAAUAUAUAGUCACGACCGUCUUUCCUCAAUUCCUCAUCGCUGUCACGGAUGCGCGCGCAUCAUCAUUAUGAUCAUUAUCUUCUAUAGAAGCUUCUAUCUUUAUAAUUAUGUAUAUUUACAAAAAGUCAAUUCGCUCGCGCCUCUAGCGGUGAAAAUGAGGGGUAAUACCAGCUGACCUAAUGUACAUGUAAAGUUUGGAGCGGGACGUUUCACAAGAGUGACAUCCACGGCUCCAAUUUAUAAUUGUAACAAAUAGUAUUUGAAUAAAAACAUUCAAUCGGGUAAAAAACGGGCGUUGCCCGGGUCAUUCGUCUAGUAUAUAUAUAGUCACGACCGUCUUUCCUCAUCGGCCGGCUGGCCGCCUCUGUCACGGAUGCGCGCGCAUCUACCAAAAAAAAAAACUCCCUCGAGCCGGAUUUGAACCAGCGACCUAAGGAUCACCGCUUAAUUACAUCUACAGUCCUUCGCUCUGCCAACUGAGCUAUCGAGGGAUACAAACCGAUGAAUAAGUUUACCUUAUAAAGUCAACUAAUCCUAUUUCUACACAAAAUGUACUCAUACCUAACUAAUAAAUUAAGAUUUUGAACAAAUACUUAUAUCAUUUCUCACAUAUUAACCCUUUAAGCUCUAGGGCCCGAAUGCUAACUAUCACUAUCAGGACCACACUAAUUAAGCCUAAACUGAUGAUCAAGUAGUUGUUAAGUUUAAAAUGUUAUAAAUAAAUAAAUAUGAUAGAUAGAAGUGUUCUGUAAAGUGCAAUAUAAUCCAGACUCCUCUCUCAACACAACACUCUGAUUUUAUUAUACUGAAAUGAGUAUUUAAUUUUUUAAUUGGGGGUUAAUUAUAAUUAAUUGAAUAAUCGACUUGAAUUUUUCAAAAUUAGGUUUCACAAAUAUAAAAAGGAAUUUUAGAUAUAUACAAGGCUAUUUACAAAGCUAACACUUGUGUUUAAAAGCACAGACUGGAUGCAAGCCUCUCUUGCACUUUGAACAUAUGGUUCUAGACCUCCGCUUCAGGCCUUCUUUUGUACACUCCAAACAUCUACUCUCUCUCUUUUCUGGAAGUUUUUCGAGUACUUCCUGGCUUGUUGAAGGCAGAACUGGAGGUUUCAAGUGAUUUUUAACUAAUUCAUUUAUUACUGAAUAGUUAAAAGCCCUUCUAGAAAGCUUGGGGUUGUCUUUGGUAUGCUGUUCAUAUAGGAUGAAGGAGUUUAGGAGAGCCCUGUGGAAGAUGUUGAGAAUCACCUUUCUAUAAAAUUUUCUUCCUUUUCUUUCAUCCAUAUAUGUAUACAACAUUUGAUCAUUGAGAUCUACCCCUCCCAUGUAGCUAUCAUAGCAGAUUUUCAUCUGUGGGUAGUCUCUUUGGUCUGACACCUUCUUUUUGCCAGAAGAAGCAUCACAAAAUGUUGAGAGAAACUUCACUGGAGGUUUGCUCUUCUUUUCUUUGUAAGCCAGGGCCAGUAGAUUAUUAUUUACCAUAUAAAGGGAAUCAUCCACACCUAAUUUUGCACUUGUUAAGGUUUUAGGAAGUCCCUUCCUAUUAGUUCUUAUAGUACCAGUCAAAUAAGUAUGACUGUCCAGUAAGUCCUUGGCUAGGUUGAUGCUGGUGAAAAAGUUAUCAGUUAUCAAAUGAUAACCUUUUCCAAGUAGACUGGAUUCCUGGAGCAGAUUCAUUGGAACAUCAUAGGAAAGGGACUUGAUAAUUGGAGAUAAUUUCCCUUUAUAUGGCUUCAUUCUCAGACAAUAGCCAGUUUUAGAUUCACAAAGCAUCCACAGUUUGACUCCAAAUCGACCAUGGUGCUUUUGGGGCAUAUAUUGUCUAAGACGAGUUCGGUUUUUUAGGCACACCAAGCUCUCAUCAACUGUAAGAUUUUGAGUAGGCUUAUAAUAAUAUAUAAACUUGUUGUUCACAUGCUCUAUGAGCUUCUCAAAUCUUGCAGUUGGGUUGUAAUCAGGAUGAGAACUUGGAACCAGGUUGAAGUCAUCAAUCAGAGAAAAGCAGCUGUAGAGCAACUCAAAUCUCCCUCUAGACAUAACUUUACCAAACCAGGGCGUCUCUAAAAGUUCAUUCUUGCUCCAAUAGUCCCUGAUUUGGUUCUUCUUCACAUUGCCCAUAUUGAAGAUGACUCCAAUAAAGGCCAUCAUCUCAUCCAAGGUAGUGUCCUUCCAGGCCAGCUUCCUAGAAAAUGGAGGCAAUUUGUCCCUAUUGCUUGCCAAUAAAGUUUGGGCACAUUUAUUGGUAAAAGCCACAAUUUCCUUCAUCAAAUUCAUUGUUAUGAAUAACAAAAAGUAUUCAAUAGGCCGGAUAAUAGAGGGGGGAAGGUGCUGUGGGCCACAAACUUCUCCAAAAGUCAAUGUUUUGGAUGUGGAAAAUGGAGUAUAAACUCUUACCCAAGGACUUGGCUGGUUUUCAUCCACUUCUUCAUCAGAAAAUUCAUCUUCAAAAGUGUCUUCAACACUUUCUUCAAACUCAGAAGACAAAGAAUAAACUUCAGUGUCCUCAGAAAAUGCAGAGCAUUCUGAACCGGAAGCCAUUUUAAAAAAAUUAAAAAUAAAAAAAGGAAAUCGCAAGACAAAGGAGAUAAAAACACAGCUAACGUGUAGAAACAAGCCCAGAAGUGAGAAGGGAGGUGAUAAAAAUAGCCAGCCACCACCCCCUCCCCCACGAGGGGCCCUACAAGGAAGUAACGAUAGAUCGGUACCCCGGCGCUCCUGGUGACGUUAUAGGGUAACGAUGGAUCGUUACCUCGGCGCUUAAAGGGUUAAUAUAGAUAUAUUCAUAUUUUGAAAAUAGAACAAUCCAAAUUUAAAAUCAUUAGAUUAAAAAAAAAGGCAAAUAUUGGCAAAUACAUCUCUUAUUCAAUUCAAUAUAUAUGCCUUUUUAUUAUUAUUACUAUAUAUAGUCACGAGCGUCUUUCCUAAUCAGUCAUCGGCCACCUCUGUCACGGAUGGCCGGCGACCCCAUUGGACGGCUACGAUCACGCGUCAUCGUUGGCGCGACGGUGACCUUGAGUGACGUAAUGCCCCCCCUGCCGGCUGCACGCGCCCGUUGGCUGCCGGCGAGCACGUGACCUCCCUGUGCGAGCGCAUGGCGGGCGGUAGGCUAUUCUAUAUACAGUUACGAGCCUCUUACGGAAGCCAACAGUACAUAGGCAGAUAAAGCACAUAGGCUAUAGUUAUUAACUAAUAUAUGCAUUUAUUUAAGGCGCCAAUUUAUAAUUGUAAAAAUUGUAUUUGAAUAAAAACAUUCAAUCGGGUAAAACACAGGCGUUGCCCGGGUCAUUCGGCUAGUAGAUUAUAAACACAAGGUAAUAAGACCAAAUCCAAAUAAAUAAAUAGUGUGUGACGCUUCGGUAACAGCGUUAUUACCAUCUUCAGACCAAAGUAAAGAUGAACAGAACCUUGAAUAUGGGAGGUGUGGAUGAUGCUCGCUACUAUUGUAUAACUUACAAAUUUCUCAGAAAAACUGUAAAAUGGUAGAGAAAAUUAUUUUUCUGGGGCCUAGAAGUGGCUACUGUCAACUCAUACAUAUACACCUAAAACUCAAAAAAAAAAAAAUGGAUUAAGGCCAAUCAGACAUGAAAAAUAUCUAGAAUAUUUGGUGGAAGAGCUUGUGGAACCAUGUCAGAAUGAAUGUCCAAAACAUAUGAAAGAUCUAUCAGAAUUUUCAGAAAGGAUUAUUUUUAAUAAUUUUUAUUUUAUAUACCAUAAUAAAUAUAUUUCCGCUUGUAAAACAUGAUGAUUUCCAUUAUAUUUAAUAAUAUGGGGGUUUAAAGGAAGAUGCGCGAGCGGAUCGUAUUACGUGCGCAGUAGACGGCAGCCUCUCCACUCACGUAAACAAAGUGGCGCGCUGCCCGGAAAGGGUUAAAUUUAUGUCCUAGAGGAGUGUAGUCAUAACCUAAUUCUUGAAUGGGAUUUUUUGAAAUUUUCCAGAGCUAUAAUCGACUCAGCUGAUGAUACAUUUUCUUAGAAAAAUGCCUUGUCAAAGAUGUAACCUAAGAUCAGUUCACCUCUCUACUCGGAACUGGAAUACAGAAUCGAACCUGCCUCUAUACAGCUAAUAGAAGUAGCAAGUCAUAAAAUAAAAAUUACAAAAUUGUGGUGGCAUAAUUUUGAAAAGAGCUAUUGCUGAAAAGAGAACUAAUGGCUCCCACCUCUCUCAUUUCACUUACCAGUAACCGUGGUAAACUUUGGGUGGUGAAUUGGAAUCCAUAUCCGAAACUAAUCCCUCAAGAGAUGCACAUAGCUAAGUGUGUUAUCAUUGAAGAUAGUCAACUAUGUAAUCUAGCUGAUUGUAACCAAGUUGGAGAAGAGGAGAAACAUUCCGGAGACCCAAAAUCUCAGAUUUUUUUAGAUGAUUCACUUAAUGAAUGUUAAAAUAAAAUUAAAGGAAUUUUUAAAAAAAUUACAUAGAUAAUUUCAAUUCAGUAAAAGAAAAUGGUUCAAGGAUAUCAAAUGUUAAGCAGUGAAAUAACACUGAAGACCACCUUCUGACCAAACAAUGACCUAACUGAGUAGCACCAACAGAUCGCCAAGUUAUUCAUGAUGAGCUAAUCAAAAUGAAAAAAUUGCCAUCAUUUAGGCUUUUGAAAGUGUGUGGGCCUCACAUGUAGUCUUGAUCAGAAAAAAAGGAUGGAAGUUGGAGAUUCUGCGUCGAUUACCGCUGCCUGAAAAAAUACAAAUGGAUGUCUACCCUAUCCCAAGGAUCGACAAAACUCUACACUGCUUACAGGGAGCUAGAUUUUAUUCCUCAAUGGACCUCCAAUCAUGAUGCUGGCAAAUCGACAUAGAAGAAUCAGACAAUGAUGAGAAGACAGCAUUUAUAACUCCAGAUGGACUUUAUUAGUUCAAAGUGAUGCCAUUUGGCUUAUUCAAAUGCUCCAGCUACCUUUGAAUGAAUCUGUCACCUCAAUGACUUCUUUAUUUUUCAGAUGACUUUGAAGAACAUCUAAGAUGCCUUCAACUCAUUAAAUUGUCUUAAGGAAUGCUGUUUAAGUCUCAAUUCCUAGAAGUGUAAGUUUGAUGCAAAAAAACUAUCACUGUUCUAGGACAUGAGGUAGUCCAUGACCUAGUUACGCAAAGGUCAUUGAAGGAAAUGAUAGGUUUUCUUGGUCUUUUAUCCUACUACCACCGCUUCAGAUAAAAUUUCCUAAUUACAAAUAACCAGCCAUAACCUGAACUAAAUAAAAUUUAACUUAUUCAAUCAAUACCUACUGAGGGAUUCAAAUUUUCAGUUGAAUUAAGGUCAGUAUUAAAUUAUAGUCAGUUAAAGUAAUUAAGCUGAUUAGGAUUUUUAAAAAUGAUUGAAAUAAAGUAAGUAUUGGAUUAUAUUCUGGUGAAUUAAAGAAUUUCACUAUGGUUGCCUAGUGUUAAAGAGAUUUUCUCAAUCGUGUUAUCAAGGAGAUUGUGAUCAUCAAGUUCUCUUAUUGUUUUAACCUAAUAAUAAAUGUUAUUUUUGAAGUCAUAAAAAUGUUUGCCUUGAAAAAUGAUCAAUGCUAGAUUUUUUGAAUAUUUAAAUAGCUAUAUUGUGUGUGUCUGUAAUAAUGAUAAUAACAUAUAUAUUUUUAUUUUGCAGGAUAAAAAGCCACUCCAUUUUCUUCUUUGAAUAUUAUCCCAGUAACAAUAGAAAUUUUCGCCUUAUUUAACUAAGAAGAAAGCAUUAUCAUUCAAGAACACAACAUUUAAAGUUUGAUUCAUAUUCUACAUUUAAAAAUAAAUAAAUCCAUUUUUAAUAAUUUGUUUUUGCAAAUUUGUGGGAAAUUCAAAUCUGUUCUUAUAAGGGAAUUACAAAUAUAUAUAUUCAAUUAGAAACUGAUAUCACUGUUAUUUAAUAGCAUAAUAACAACAAAUUGUGCAUCCAUAUGUCAAUAAGUAGCAUUUUUGAAAAGGUCUUUGGUGCCAAUAUUAUAAAUACAAAAUAUCAAGUAUAGCUUAAUUUCAAAAUAUUAUUAUUUUCCUCUCAUAGAUAUUGUGGAGUCUAACCAACCUAAUCAAAACCUAAAGUGUGAUAGCUAACUUGAAAGGCAUUCAUUUGUAGAAAAAAAGAGAAAUGUUCUAAAAGUGUGAUUUUUUGUGAUUACAAAGCUAAAAGGAAAUACAAUCUUCAUAGACAUUUAGUCAAUAAUUCAUUUAAAAUGACUUUUAAAUGUGAAUUUUGUGACUAUAAAACAAAAAAUAAAAGAAUUUUUAAUGAACAUUUGAUGACUCAUACUGGUGAAAAACCUCAUAAAUGUGAGUUUUGUGAUUAUAGAGCAAUAGCUAAAGGGACCCUUAUUAAGCAUUUGGUGACACACACUGGUGAAAAGCCCUUUAAAUGUGAAUAUUGUGAAUUCAGAACAUUUCACAAAGAUAAUCUUAAAAGUCAUCUACUUUUACAUACUGUUGAAAAGCCUUUAAAAUGUGAAUUGUGUGAAUAUAGAACAAUUCAUAAAAGGUAUCUUAAAUCUCAUAUAUUAAAACACACAGGUGAAAAGCCCUUCAAAUGUGAAUAUUGUGAAUAUAAAACAAUUCAUUGUAGUACCUAUAAAAGGCAUAUAUUAAACCACACAGGUGAAAAGCCCUUCAAAUGUGAAUAUUGUGAAUUUAGAACAA